UGGGGGAUAUUGCACAAUGGGCGCAAGCCUGAUGCAGCGACGCCGCGUGGGGGAUGAAGGCCUUCGGGUUGUAAACUUCUUUUGCUCUGAACAAGGCGCACUUUGGGGUGUGUUGAGUGUAGGGGUUGAUUAGCGCCGGCUAACUACGUGCCAGCAGCCGCGGUAAUACGUAGGGCGCGAGCGUUGUCCGGAAUUAUUGGGCGUAAAGGGCUUGUAGUUGGCUGGUUGCGUCUGUCGUGAAAGCUCAUGGCUUAACUGUGGGUUUGCGGUGGGUACGGGCUGGCUUGAGUGCAGUAGGGGAGGCUGGAAUUCCUGGUGUAGCGGUGGAAUGCGCAGAUAUCAGGAGGAAUACCGGUGGCGAAGGCGGGUCUCUGGGCUGUUACUGACACUGAGGAGCGAAAGCAUGGGGAGCGAACAGG
rnacentral:rRNA from 1 species